AACUCUCGAUGAAGAGCGAGAAGACAGGGAGAGUGACGCUGAUGGCAUUGACCAUGAAGGUAAGGGAAUGAGGUCUAAAAGCUACCUCUCAAGAAAUCCCCUCUGUAUUUCAUGACCUGGAUGGACUGUAAGGAGAGCCUAGAAAACAAGCAAACAUUCAGUCACCUGACGUGUCAGAAUCUGUAGCAGAAGCUCGGCUGCAAUGGUCAGUGCAGGGAUAUCACUCUGUAACCUUUGUGAAAGUUCAAUUGUAAAUUUUCUAUUCAAGUAAUUAAGAGGUGUAUAACACACAUAAACUAGAGAACUCGUUAGGCUUGGGGCAUGCAGUGACCUCUGAACCUGAUUGAUGCACAGAUGUGUCCAUCAUCUUUUUGGCCUUACAGUUUCUGCCCCUGGCUCUCUUCCCUUUUCCUGUGACUGUGGUCUUGGAGCAAUCUUCUAAGUUGUUACAGUGUGAUUUUUCUCUUAUAUAGCUCACAGACUUAAUCUUCAUUCUUUCCCUGUUCCACUGAUGGGUAGGAUCACUUAUUUCCUUUGCCCUGUAAUGUAGUUGAAGAUGGAAUAGACUUUCUAUGUUGCUUUGGCUA